AUUGAACGCUGGCGGCAUGCCUUACACAUGCAAGUCGAGCGGCAGCGCGGGGGCAACCCUGGCGGCGAGCGGCGAACGGGUGAGUAAUGCAUCGGAACGUGUCCUGAAGUGGGGGAUAACCUGGCGAAAGCCAGGCUAAUACCGCAUGUGCUCGGGAGAGCAAAGCGGGGGACCGCAAGGCCUCGCGCUUGAGGAGCGGCCGAUGUCCGAUUAGCUAGUAGGUGGGGUAAGAGCCCACCUAGGCGACGAUCGGUAGCUGGUCUGAGAGGAUGAUCAGCCACACUGGGACUGAUACACGGCCCAGAGGCCUGCGGGAGGCGGCAGUGGAUGAUUUUGGACAAUGUGUGCAACCCUGAUCCAGCCAUGCCGCGCGAGUGAAGAAGGCCUUCGGGUUGUAAAGCUCUUUCGGCGGGAACGAAAAGGCCAUCUCUAAUACGGGUGGUCGCUGACGGUACUCGCAGAAGAAGCACCGGCUAACUACGUGCCAGCCGCCGCCGUAAGAC
rnacentral:rRNA from 1 species